GCGUGGUUUCACUCUUGCAGCAUUCUGGGCAGGCUUGCUGAGUGGGGCUACCAGGCCUGUAAUUCCCCAAGCAGCGAGAGCUGCUUCUUAUGAGGCGAGCAAGAUUUCAUUUUUGCUCAAAAAGCAUUUUUUUGCACCUCCUUAUCGUGGAGGAAAGAGCAAAGAACAGAGCUUUGGGAGUCUGGUUGUUAUCGGAGACAGUAAAAUGAAAGUUGAGUGACCUCGGAGCUCAGUGUGAAGGCAUCUUCAGGGGAUUUCUGCCUCCAAGCCACCUCUUCUCAUAUGUGAGGAGAUGGCUUGGCUGCUGUGCUCACCACAACUGCUUCCCCUCAGGAGGGACAGGCAAAGACCUUGAAGAUGCUGAGUUUCUGCAGAUGUGAUGGAAGUAGGUGGCCAGCCAGGGGAGGGAGAACUUAAAAUGCCCACCCUGCUCCAAGGUGUGCUCAAUGCUGGGUAGACACGAGGGAGCUCAUGAAGAGACCCCAGGGCAUAAAUCUGCAGGAGACUCGACAUUAUUGACUCUGUUGUGUAUGGAGCUGCUUGUUCUUAAUGUGCUUGUUGGGAAAUACAAAAGAAAAUUGUGAUGUCUUUCUUUCUCUGCUCUGAACAGGCUAAAAGAUAAAACAACAAUGUUUGCUAUCUGAUUCUCUUGUAAUAAAGACAGUUAUUGUUCAUAAGAAAUUUGUGAUGCUUGUGGCAUUGAUAUGGCACUCCUAAGAGUUUUUU